rnacentral:tRNA from 1 species
UCCCCUAUUGUCUAGUGGUUCGCGAUCUCCGGCUCUCACCCGGAACGGCCCGGGUUCGAUUCCCGGUAUGGGAA